CCUUAGUAACGGCGAGUGAAGCGGCAAUAGCUCAAAUUUGAAAGCUGGCCCCUUCGGGGUCCGCGUUGUAAUUUGUAGAGGAUGAUUCGGCGAGGGCUCCCGUCUAAGUCCCCUGGAACGGGGCGUCAUAGAGGGUGAGAAUCCCGUAUGUGAUGGGUUGCCUUAGCCAUGUGAAUCUCCUUCGACGAGUCGAGUUGUUUGGGAAUGCAGCUCUAAAUGGGAGGUAAAUUUCUUCUAAAGCUAAAUACCGGCCAGAGACCGAUAGCGCACAAGUAGAGUGAUCGAAAGAUGAAAAGCACUUUGGAAAGAGAGUUAAAAAGUACGUGAAAUUGUUGAAAGGGAAGCGCUUGCAGCCAGACUUGUCCGCAGUUGCUCAGCCGGUCUCCUGACCGGCGUACUCUUCUGCGGCCAGGCCAGCAUCAGUUCGGGCGGUCGGAUAAAGGCCCCGGGAAUGUAGCUCCUCUCGGGGAGUGUUAUAGCCCGGGGUGGAAUGCGGCCAGCCUGGACUGAGGAUCUCGCUUCGGCUAGGAUGCUGGCGUAAUGGCUGUAAGCGGCCCGUCUUGAAACACGGACC
rnacentral:rRNA from 1 species